GACGGAGGGGGCUAGCGUUGUUCGGAAUGACUGGGCGUAAAGGGCGCGUAGGCGGUUUUUUAAGUGAGGCGUGAAAGCCCUGGGCUUAACCCAGGAGGUGCGCUUCAUACUGGAAAGCUUGAGUGCGAGAGAGGAAAGUGGAAUUCCUAGUGUAGAGGUGAAAUUCGUAGAUAUUAGGAAGAACACCAGUGGCGAAGGCGACUUUCUGGCUCGCAACUGACGCUGAGGCGCGAAAGCGUGGGGAGCAAACAGG
rnacentral:rRNA from 1 species